rnacentral:rRNA from 1 species
ACACCUGGGAGUGGGUUGCAAAAGAAGUAGGUAGCUUAACCUUCGGGAGGGCGCUUACCACUUUGUGAUUCAUGACUGGGGUGAAGUCGUAACAAGGUAACCGUAGGGGAACCUGCGGUUGGAUCACCUCCU